CGGGAACAGCCUCUGAGGGGGGGGGCGCCGUGAGGGAGCCGCUGAGGGGGGACGGGACCCCCGCGCCAAAGUUUGGGGAAAGUUUCCCCUGGUUUGGGGCGGGGGUCGUGCCUCAGCUCCGCGCUCCCGCUGCGGCAUUGGGUUCCUGUCUACAAAGAGCUGAUGAUCCCCUGAGCUGCUGAGUUGCCAAAGCACCGUGCCCAGGACCAGGCCUGCCCGCAGAGGUCCCGGCGCGGGGCGGCUCCCUGGGACGGGGACCGGGCGGGACGGGGACCGGGCAGGACGGGGACCGGGCACGGCUCGGGCACGGCUCGGGCACCGCGUCCCCCGCCGGCUCAGAGCCAGCUCCC